UACGUAGGGUGCAAGCGUUAUUCGGAAUUACUGGGCGUAAAGCGUGCGCAGGCGGCUAUGCAAGACAGAUGUGAAAUCUCCGGGCUCAACCUGGGAACUGCAUUUGUGACUGCAUGGCUAGAGUACGGUAGAGGGGGAUGGAAUUCCGCGUGUAGCAGUGAAAUGCGUAGAUAUGCGGAGGAACACCGAUGGCGAAGGCAAUCCCCUGGACCUGUACUGACGCUCAUGCACGAAAGCGUGGGGAGCAAACAGG
rnacentral:rRNA from 1 species